rnacentral:piRNA from 1 species
UUUCAUUAAAUUUUGUGAAGA